AAGAGUCACAAACCCCAUGGCAGACAGAGUCGCCAGUGGAGACAUGCAGGAAUCAGAAGCCCGGAGCCCUGACCUCCCCUCCGCACCUCUACACCCUCUGGCCUUUUGUUCAAACAGCACGGACGGUGAACAAGCCCAGAGGCCCAGUUGCCCUCACAUCCCCACAGGUGCUCCUUCUCGAAAAGUACGAGUUCCUCAUUAAAGCGGCCAAAGGAGGAGACUGAGGCACAGAAACGUUCAACUCCUUCCCCAAGGCCACACAGCUCGGGCAAGAACGGGAAUCUAAAUCCAGAAGCAGAAAAUAGAACUCCUGGCCGCACAGUGUGUUUGCGCGCUGCCGGCCAAAUCCCGCCACUGUGUCUUCCGGAGAAAAGAGAGGGAUUUUGCCAAAAUCCACGUCACGCCUCCCUGCGCCCUUCCCCCAGCUUGUCCUGGCGUCCACCUAAAAUCACUCCUCUUACCAACAGGCUGCAACUCACAGAAUCCAAAAGGGUCAGGGUCUGCUAAGGAUUCAGUGUUUCUAAAAUGCAGCUAACGCAGCGUCUGGCUUAGUCAGUAAAGAUGCUGGAGU